rnacentral:lncRNA from 1 species
CGAUUUUAUAAUGCGAUAUCCCAGGACAAUGUAUCACCGACCCUUUCAUUUAUUAAGCACAUGCGGAAGCAAUUAAAAUCCCCAGACAAUAAAACGAUGGGAUAGAAAAGCAGGGCCAUAUUUUUCAUAUUGAAAUUUAUAACCAAACUUUUAUACAAAAUACAAACCAAAUCAUAAUUGAUCACUUCAAAAGGAAUUCUCAGAAGAAGAUAGACUCUCAGCCCAUCCAGGCCAUACUUAAGGCCCCUCUCGGGAUUAUCUUCUUCUUCCAAAAAUCCUUCUCCUCAUAUCUCACUUCCGAGUUCUCCUUCAUAGACUUCUCCUCCUCAGCUUCUCAUCGGGGUCCUGAAAUGUUUUUUCCCAAACUGGGAUGAGACUACGUCUCAGCGAGUUCUACCCCACUAAGCCCGAUUAGUAAACUACUAUACUAAAGGCUGCCUAAACACGCACAGGUGAGGGGACUUACCUUGGCCUCAGAUCCCACCUGCAAGUCAGUACAAUUCAUAAUAGGCACCCAAGCAAUCAUAUCACGGAUCGAAGCAUCGAUCAAACCGACCUAGUCGAUUACAUGACAACGAGACCACCCAUGGUCAUUUCCAUUCAAUCAAUCAAUUCAUAACCUCAUAUCAAAGCAAUGAAUCACAUCAAGUCACACUCAGAUCGAAUCAUCGAUCAAUCGACCUAGUCGAUUACAAGUCACUCAGACCAUCUCAUGGUCAUUUCCAAUCAAUCGAUCAAUUCACAACAUCAGAUCAAGCAAUGAUCAAUCGACCUAGUCGAUUACACGUCAUCACGACCCAGGCUUGGUCGGCACAUUCAAUACUAUCUAUAAAGUCCCAUCAAAUCAGGACUGCUCACCCAAAGCUGACCAUUAGAUAGUAUAACUCGCUCGAAGCUGAUAAUAAAGUAUACUGCUCACCCAAAGCUGACAUAUCGCCCGUAGGUCGAUAUAGUAUACUGGUAUACUGCUCACCCAAAGCUGACAUAUCGCCCGUAGGCCGAUAUAGUAUACCCUAUGCUCACCCAAAGCUGAUAAUAAAGUAUACUGCUCACCCAAAGCUGACAUAUCGCCCGUAGGUCGAUAUAGUAUACUGGUAUACUGCUCACCCAAAGCUGACAUAUCGCCCGAAGGCCGAUAUAGUAUACCCUAUGCUCACCCAAAGCUGAUAAUAAAGUAUACUGCUCACCCAAAGCUGACAUAUCGCCCGUAGGUCGAUAUAGUAUCCUGGUAUACUGCUCACCCAAAGCUGACAUAUCGCCCGAAGGCCGAUAUAGUAUACCAUAUUCUCACCCAAAUAAUCAAUUUAGGAAUAUAUCCUAAAUGUCCACAAUUAAAUCAAUUUGGCGCAAUUCAAAGCUCAAAUAAAUAAACGGACUGCGCCACGACAAUCAGCACGAGAUUUCGGUCGUCAGCCAUCUCAAUCUUAAUUUCUGAAAAAUAAAUAAAUAAUUAAUUAAUUUCGAAAAUUAAUUAUUAAAUAUUAAAAAUUCCGAUUAGCUCAAAAUAAGGCCCAAUUAAAUAAACAGAUUGCACCAUGGUCAUCAGCAUAAAUUUUCGGUCACGUGCCAUCCCAGUUAAAUUUUCAGAAAAUAAAUAAUUAUUUAAUUAAUUUCGAAAAUUAAUUAAUAUUAAAAAUUCAAUUUAGCUUAAAAUAAAAUCCGAUUAAAUAAACGGACUUUGCCACGAUCAUCAGCAUAAUAUUCCGGUUCCGGACCAUCUCCCUUGAAUUUUCGGAAAAUAAAUAUUUAUUUAAUUAAUUCCGAAAAUUAAUAUUUAAAUGCCCAAAAAUCUCACUUAGGCCCGAAUCAUCAAAUUGAAGCUCAAUUAGGGGUCCGAAAAUUCCCGAGACUCCCAAUAAAUAGUAGACCACGUCUACUUGUUAAUUUCACAAUCAAUUUAUCUAAAUCGCAUCACAAUUGACUAAUAAUUGCUAAUUAAUUCUAAUCUAACAACCUAAACAUAAUUAAUUAAAACUAAACCAACCUAAAGCAUAAUUAGCUAACUAAUCCGGGAUUAGUGAGAUUACUCACCAAAUCGCGCGCAAAUCGGAUCAAUCCGACGGCGGCGACGCGAGGAACGAUUGUUCCCAAAGCACGGCUCGGGUUCGGGGUCGAGAAACGGCCCAAAACGGCCCACGAACAGCUGGAUACCCACUCCGUGGGUUUGCUGGUUCGGCCACAAAACAGCAAGAAAGAGAGAGGGUUGGGGGCGGCAAGAGGUCGGGAGAGCGGGUGGUGGCUUGGCGAGGCCGAGCGGUGGCCCACGGUGGCCGGAGAUGGCCGGAUCGUGGCCGGUGCUGGCCAAGACAGAGCUGAACAGAGGCGGUUGGUAGCUGGACGGCGCACGGCAGAGACAGCAAACGCGAAGGGGCGGUGGCGGAGCACGCGGCGUGUGCGGGCGGUGCGGACGGCGGCUCGGCGGCGUGCGGCGGCGACGGCAAGCGGCUCUCCUUCUUCU